UAUCUGGUUGAUCCUGCCAGUAGUCAUAUGCUUGUCUCAAAGAUUAAGCCAUGCAUGUCUAAGUAUAAGCACUCGUACUGUGAAACUGCGAAUGGCUCAUUAAAUCAGUUAUCGUUUAUUUGAUUGUACCUUUACUACUUGGAUAACCGUGGUAAUUCUAGAGCUAAUACAUGCGAA
rnacentral:ncRNA from 1 species